rnacentral:tRNA from 1 species
GUGAGUGUAGCUCAGUUGGCAGAGCAUCAGAUUGUGGCUCUGAGGGCCGUGGGUUCAAGUCCCACCACUCACCCCA